UGCCCGCGGCGGCUAAAUAUUCGGCCCUA
rnacentral:sRNA from 1 species